AACUGUUAGCAAUGGAUCUCUUGGCUCUCGCAUCGAUGAAGAACGCAGCGAAAUGCGAUAAGUAAUGUGAAUUGCAGAAUUCAGUGAAUCAUCGAAUCUUUGAACGCACCUUGCGCCCUUUGGCUAUUCCGAAGGGCAUGCCUGUUUGAGUAUCAUGAACACCUCAACCCUCACGGUUCCUCGUGAUGGGCUUGGACUUGGGGGCUUUGUUGGCCUGUGGUCAGCUCUCCUCAAAUAAAUCAGCUCGCCAGUGUCUGGCGGCAUCAUGGGUGUGAUAACCAUCUACGCUUGUGAUCGCCUGCGAGGUAAACCUCUGGUCUGCAGAGGUUCGCUGGAGCUUAUAGAUGUCUCUCCUCUGUGAAGACAGCUUUCUGAAGUUCGAUCUCAAAUCAGGUAGGACUACCCGCUGAACUUAAGCAUAUCAAUAAGCGGAGGCU
rnacentral:misc_RNA from 1 species